rnacentral:lncRNA from 1 species
AAGAAUGUACACUGAGCUAUAAUUUUAUUUAGCUUUCUCCCACUACGACGAAGUACUACUAAUAUUACCUUCAUUACCUCACGACAUUUAGAUAUUAGUAACUUCUUACUGUAGUGUCCAGUGUUCAAAUAUCACUCCCACUCUAUUACCUCACGAUAUUGAAAUAUUAGUAACUUCUUACUGUAGUGUUCAAUGUUCAAACACCACUCCCACUCGAUAAAGGCAUAUCAUGUCUAUUAACGUUCUCCCACAAUUUAAAUGCAAUGGAACGUCAAUUCUG